rnacentral:rRNA from 1 species
CCUGUGUAAAAAACCGUACCGCAAACCGACACAGGUAGGCAGGGUGAGAAUCCCAAGGCGCUUGAGAGAACUCGGGUGAAGGAACUAGGCAAAAUGGCACCGUAACUUCGGGAGAAGGUGCGCCUCUUGGUGUGGUCACGUGCGUGACUGAGCAUCGAGGGGUCGCAGUAACCUGGCCGCUGCGACUGUUUAUCAAAAACACAGCACUCUGCAAACACGAAAGUGGACGUAUAGGGUGUGACGCCUGCCCGGUGCUGGAAGGUUAAUUGAUGGGGUCAGCCGCAAGGCGAAGCUCUUGAUCGAAGCCCCAGUAAACGGCGGCCGUAACUAUAACGGUCCUAAGGUAGCGAAAUUCCUUGUCGGGUAAGUUCCGACCUGCACGAAUGGCGUAACGACAGCGGCGCUGUCUCCACCCGAGACUCAGUGAAAUUGAAAUCGCUGUGAAGAUGCAGCGUUCCCGCGGCAAGACGGAAAGACCCCGUGAACCUUUACUAUAGCUUUACACUGAACGUUGAGUUCUUCUGUGUAGGAUAGGUGGGAGGCUAUGAAACCAGGACGCUAGUUCUGGUGGAGCCAUCCUUGAAAUACCACCCUGAAGUGCUUGACGUUCUAACCUAGGUCCGUAAUCCGGAUCGGGGACCGUGUAUGGUGGGUAGUUUGACUGGGGCGGUCUCCUCCCAAAGAGUAACGGAGGAGCACGAAGGUACGCUCAGCGCGGUCGGACAUCGCGCACUGUGUGCAAAGGCAUAAGCGUGCUUGACUGCGAGAUCGACGGAUCAAGCAGGUACGAAAGUAGGUCUUAGUGAUCCGGUGGUUCUGUAUGGAAGGGCCAUCGCUCAACGGAUAAAAGGUACUCCGGGGAUAACAGGCUGAUACCGCCCAAGAGUUCAUAUCGACGGCGGUGUUUGGCACCUCGAUGUCGGCUCAUCACAUCCUGGGGCUGUAGCCGGUCCCAAGGGUAUGGCUGUUCGCCAUUUAAAGUGGUACGCGAGCUGGGUUCAGAACGUCGUGAGACAGUUCGGUCCCUAUCUGUCGUGGGCGUUGGAGAUUUGAGGGGGGCUGCUCCUAGUACGAGAGGACCGGAGUGGACGUUCCGCUGGUGUUCGGGUUGUCAUGCCCAUGGCAUUGCCCGGUAGCUACGAACGGAAGUGAUAACCGCUGAAAGCAUCUAAGCGGGAAGCACGCCCCAAGAUGAGAUCUCCCGAGAGCUUGACUCUCCUAAAGGCACCAUCAAGACUAGGUGGUUGAUAGGCACGGUGUGGAAGUGCAGCAAUGCAUUGAGCUUACGUGUACUAAUGAGCCGUGAGGCUUGACCAA